rnacentral:lncRNA from 10 species
UUCCAAGUAAUUAGCACUUUGCAUCUAUUUUAUUUAUUGCUACUACUAAGAAAACAUAACCGUGAAGGCAUAAAAGCAAACAUUUUCUGUAGACACAUGAGGUGACACAAGAGUGUUGAAACUUCUUUAAGGAUAAAGGCCUGAUGUUAGGCAUGUCGUGAGCGCAAAACCAAUUUCUGUGUAACUAAAUUUAAAAGAGUCAUAUUAGAGGGGAGAAAUGGAAGAUAAACUGCAAAACGUAAACAAUGAUUACUUAGGUGAUAGAGUUAUGUCUGAUCUUUGUAUUUGACUCAUCUGCAUUUAUAAAUUUUAUUUAAUAAGCCUUAAUUUCCUAGGCCAUAUAUCAUAUACAAAUAUAAGUUAUACCUAACUUAUAGGUAUUAUAAUAUGUAUAUAUACAUAAAUGUAUGAAUAUUUACAUAUGCGUGUGUGUGUGUAUUCUUUCAGAAAAGCAAAGUUUUCUUCGGGCUUUAAACACGCAGCCUCUGGUAAAGGUGCUAUUGGUACAAAAGUUCAACAAGCAUAGCUCCAAGCUUUGACAAUUUUCUUACACUUUACUAAUACUGCUGUCCAAAAACUAUGAGAUUUUCAAAGCAGCCAACAUUGCAGUGGUGCAAUGGUUAAUAACAAGAGAGAGAAGAGUGUGGCCUGAGGUUGUAUAAAUGUUUUCUCAAUCUUGAAUCAUUAAUUUUCUCCAAGGAAGUUUCUAAAGAAUCCCAAAUAGUGCACACUAUUUCUGAAAGGAACAGGAUUUUUUUUUCUAAUCAUAAAAUGGACCCAGACAUCUCAGCCUCUUGGUGUAAUCUGGAUAUCAGAUGCAAUCAGCGAACAGCCUGAGUUUUGGAAUUAGAUCUGAGUUCAAUCCCAUAUCUCCCAUUUACUAGCUGUGUGAUCUUGGCUGAAUUACUGAAGCUCUCUGAACCUCAUUUCGCCAUCUGUAAAAUGGGGAUGUGGUUAUCUUCCCCACUACAUGGCUCUCGUGAGAAUCCGCGGAGAUCACAUUUGUAAACACUUCUCUCGCUAUGCCUGGCACUUUGUUGGGGCCCAAUAAAAUAAAAAUCCAUGGACUCUCAGAGGCUCCGGUACUCAAAUGAGCCUCCUGGAUCCACGUCUCUUUGAUUAGCCAUCUGCAAGCUGGCAUUUCUGAGCGAGGGACUUUUCAAAACAGGCUGCUCAAGUUUCUUGGCCAAUAAUAGGCGCCGGGUUCUGUGCGGUGGGAACGAGUACCACCAACCCCAGCAGGAGACCAAGCAGAAAUCACCAUGGGAGUGCAAGCUAAGAAAGGGCAAAAGAAGAAAGAGAAGGGCAGAAAAACAAAACAAAAUGAAACCACUCAGGCAGCGACUUACAGUCUUAAAGAGAGAAUUCCCGGAAGGGAGACAAGGCAGUUUCUUUUUCUGUGUGACAAUAAAAAACGGUAAACAAGCCUCCAGAAGCUCAUUCAGCCCCCAUAUAACUUUUUCGAGAAAGAAAAGGUGCCGUUCUUCCGAGCCCUCCGGCUUAACCACUGCUUCGGUGCUGACUUAUUUCCUACGUCUGAGAACUGCCAGAAAAU